GGCGCAGUGGCGGAGUGGUCUAACGCGCAAGACUAGAAUUUGUUCCAGAUUUUCGUCUGGAUGGAAUCUGUGAUCUUGUUCCUUCGGGAGCGUCUGUUCGAAUCAGGCCUGCGUCG